UCCUCGAUAGUAUAGUGGUGAGUAUCUCCGCCUGUCACGCGGAAGACCGGGGUUCAAUUCCUCGUCGGGGAG
rnacentral:tRNA from 1 species